GUAGGUGGCAAGCGUUGUCCGGAUUUACUGGGCGUAAAGAGCGCGCAGGCGGUCGUUCAAGUCGCGUGUGAAAGCCCCCGGCUCAACUGGGGAGGGUCACGCGAUACUGAUCGACUCGAAGGCAGGAGAGGGUAGUGGAAUUCCCGGUGUAGUGGUGAAAUGCGUAGAUAUCGGGAGGAACACCAGUGGCGAAGGCGACUACCUGGCCUGUUCUUGACGCUGAGGCGCGAAAGCUAGGGGAGCAAACGGGAUUAGAUACCCCGGUAGUCCUAGCCGUAAACGAUGGACACUAGGUGUUGGUGGUAUCAACCCCGCCAGUGCCGAAGCUAACGCAUUAAGUGUCCCGCCUGGGGAGUACGGCCGCAAGGSUA
rnacentral:rRNA from 1 species